rnacentral:rRNA from 1 species
GGGUGCAUGACGCGCUCGUUGUAUUUCCUUCCUUGUGUGUCAACGCCAGUUCGCGAUCGAGGAAAACUCCAGGGUCAUGGUAGCUUGUCUUCGGGUGAGUGAAUAGCCUUGGCAGAACUCAUUUGCGGACUGUUUCUUUCGUGUCCGGUUGCAGUGUCGUUGGCAUCGCGGCGAUCUUGGCUUGGCUUCUGCCACUGCUGAGUGACCCAGGUGACUUCGGCAUUUCCCUGACACAAAGACGAUGACUAAAUGGUUCUAUUCGACCCGUCUUGAAACACGGACCAAGGA